rnacentral:rRNA from 1 species
GACGGAGGGGGCUAGCGUUGUUCGGAAUUACUGGGCGUAAAGCGCGCGUAGGCGGCCGGUCAAGUUAGGCGUGAAAGGCCUGGGCUCAACCUGGGAACGGCGCUUAAGACUGAUCGGCUGGAGUCCGGGAGAGGGUGGUGGAAUUCCCAGUGUAGAGGUGAAAUUCGUAGAUAUUGGGAGGAACACCGGUGGCGAAGGCGGCCACCUGGCCCGGCACUGACGCUGAGGCGCGAAAGCUAGGGGAGCAAACGGG